rnacentral:rRNA from 1 species
GACGAACGCUGGCGGCGUGCUUAACACAUGCAAGUCGAACGGUAAGGCUCCAGCUUGCUGGGGUACACGAGUGGCGAACGGGUGAGUAACACGUGGGUGACCUGCCCUGCACUUCGGGAUAAGCCUGGGAAACUGGGUCUAAUACCGGAUAGGACCGCACCGUGAGGGUGUGGUGGAAAGUUUUUUCGGUGUGGGAUGGGCCCGCGGCCUAUCAGCUUGUUGGUGGGGUAAUGGCCUACCAAGGCGGCGACGGGUAGCCGGCCUGAGAGGGUGGACGGCCAGAUUGGGGCUGGGACGCGGCCCGGCCCCCUACGGGGGGCGGCGGGGGGGAAUGUGGCACAAGGGGCGGAGGCUUGAUGCCGCGCCGCCGCGGGGGGGAUGAGGGCCUUCGGGUUGUAAACUCCUUCCCCCAUCGACGAGGGGUUCCUGCCGGUGGGUGGAGAAGAGGCCCCGCCUAACUCCGUG